UACUUAUUAUACAUGUGUGUCAUUUGGUGACCAGUGUGCGAGAAAUAAAAUGUAUAGUGGUUCUCUUUUGUGGCUAAUAGAAUUGUAGUGUGCAGGUU
rnacentral:pre_miRNA from 9 species